rnacentral:rRNA from 1 species
CCAGCGACGCCGCGUUGGGGAUGAAGCCCUUCGGGGCGUAAACCCAUGUUGUAGGGGACGAAGAAAGUGACGGUACCCUACGAGAAAGCCCCGGCCAACUACGUGCCAGCAGCCGCGGUAAU